AUUGAACGCUGGCGGCAUGCUUUACACAUGCAAGUCGAACGGUAACAGGUUAAGCUGACGAGUGGCGAACGGGUGAGUGAUGCAUCGGAACGUGCCCGAUCGUGGGGGAUGACGCAGCGAAAGCUGCGCUAAUACCGCAUACGAUCUGAGGAUGAAAGCGGGGGACCGUAAGGCCUCGCGCGAUCGGAGCGGCCGAUGCCAGAUUAGGUAGUUGGUGGGGUAAAGGCCCACCAAGCCGACGAUCUGUAGCUGGUCUGAGAGGACGACCAGCCACACUGGGACUGGGACACGGCCCAGACUCCUACGGGAGGCGGCAGUGGGGAAUUUUGGACAAUGGGCGAAAGCCUGAUCCAGCAAUGCCGCGUGCAGGAAGAAGGCCUUCGGGUUGUAAACUGCUUUUGUACGGAGCGAAAAGGUCCUUUCUAAUACAAGGGGCUCAUGACGGUACCGUAAGAAUAAGCACCGGCUAACUACGUGCCAGCCGCCGCCGUAA
rnacentral:rRNA from 1 species